GUAAUGGCUCACCAAGGCGUCGACGGGUAGCCGGCCUGAGAGGGUGACCGGCCACACUGGGACUGAGACACGGCCCAGACUCCUACGGGAGGCAGCAGUGGGGAAUAUUGCACAAUGGGCGGAAGCCUGAUGCAGCAACGCCGCGUGAGGGAUGACGGCCUUCGGGUUGUAAACCUCUUUUAGCAGGGAAGAAGCGAAAGUGACGGUACCUGCAGAAAAAGCGCCGGCUAACUACGUGCCAGCAGCCGCGGUAAUACGUAGGGCGCAAGCGUUAUCCGGAAUUAUUGGGCGUAAAGAGCUCGUAGGCGGUUUGUCGCGUCUGCUGUGAAAUCCCGAGGCUCAACCUCGGGCCUGCAGUGGGUACGGGCAGACUAGAGUGCGGUAGGGGAGAUUGGAAUUCCUGGUGUAGCGGUGGAAUGCGCAGAUAUCAGGAGGAACACCGAUGGCGAAGGCAGAUCUCUGGGCCGUAACUGACGCUGAGGAGCGAAAGGGUGGGGAGCAAACAGGCUUAGAUACCCUGGUAGUCCACCCCGUAAACGUUGGGAACUAGUUGUGGGGUCCAUUCCACGGAUUCCGUGACGCAGCUAACGCAUUAAGUUCCCCGCCUGGGGAGUACGGCCGCAAGGCUAAAACUCAAAGGAAUUGACGGGGACCCGCACAAGCGGCGGAGCAUGCGGAUUAAUUCGAUGCAACGCGAAGAACCUUACCAAGGCUUGACAUAUACGAGAACGGGCCAGAAAUGGUCAACUCUUUGGACACUCGUAAACAGGUGGUGCAUGGUUGUCGUCAGCUCGUGUCGUGAGAUGUUGGGUUAAGUCCCGCAACGAGCGCAACCCUCGUUCUAUGUUGCCAGCACGUAAUGGUGGGAACUCAUGGGAUACUGCCGGGGUCAACUCGGAGGAAGGUGGGGAUGACGUCAAAUCAUCAUGCCCCUUAUGUCUUGGGCUUCACGCAUGCUACAAUGGCCGGUACAAAGGGCUGCAAUACCGUGAGGUGGAGCGAAUCCCAAAAAGCCGGUCCCAGUUCGGAUUGAGGUCUGCAACUCGACCUCAUGAAGUCGGAGUCGCUAGUAAUCGCAGAUCAGCAACGCUGCGGUGAAUACGUUCCCGGGUCUUGUACACACCGCCCGUCAAGUCAUGAAAGUCGGUAACACCUGAAGCCGGUGGCCUAACCCUUGUGGAGGGAGCCGUCGAAG
rnacentral:rRNA from 1 species